GCGGGAGUGGCGAAACGGCAGACGCGCAGGAUUUAGGUUCCUGUGUCCGAAAGGACGUGGGGGUUCAAGUCCCCUCUCCCGUACCA
rnacentral:tRNA from 1 species